rnacentral:rRNA from 1 species
AUUGAACGCUGGCGGCAAGCCUAACACAUGCAAGUCGAACGAGUGGCGGACGGGUGAGUCAUGUCUGGGACACUGCCUGAUGGAGGGGGAUAACUACUGUAAACGGUAGCUAAUACCGCAUACCAUCGGAUGUGCCCAGAUUGGAGUAGCUAGUAGGUGGGGUAAAGGCUCACCUAGGCGCCGAUCCCUAGCUGGUCUGAGAGGAUGACCAGCCACUCUGGAACUGAGACACGGUCCAGCAUCCUACGGGAGGCAGCAGGGGGGAAUAUUGCACAAUGGGCGGAAGCCGGAUGCAGCCAUGCCGCGUGUAUGAAGAAGGCCUUCGGGUUGUAAAGUACUUUCAGCGGGGAGGCGUUACCCGCAGAAGAAGAACCGGCUAACGCCGUGCCAGCAGCCGCGGGAAUAC